GCCUGAUCUCAGAUAACUGCAGCUUUAGGACAUUGUGUGCAGUCUCAUCACAGAUGUGAUCUCACUGAGGAUUCAUAUCUCCUUUAUGAGAUAGCUGGUGCUGUCAUCUCAUCCCCAUUUUACAGAUGAGGAAACAGAGAUACAGGUGGAGUCUCAAGCCGCUGGAGACGCAGUGCCUCCUGUCCUCAGUCAGGGCCUGUGAUCUGGUCACCACCAACCUGAAUCUCAGAGUGUGGGCAUGAUGGCCCCGAUGCCAAGAGCUUCGUGCUGAACCUGGGCAACAACAUGUGCCUGUACUUCAGCCUUCCCUCCAGUGCACAUGGGGACGCCAACACCAUUGUGUGUAGCAGCCAGGACGGUAGGACCCGGGGACCGAGCAGUGGGAGUCUGCCUUUCCCUUCCAGCCUGGGAGUGUCAUGGAGGGAGCUGUGCGUCGCCUCUGACAGGCAGACCUGGCCAUCAUGCUGCCAGAUGGAUACACUUUCAAGUUCCCCAACCUGGAGGCUGUCAAGUACCUGGCAGCGGAGGGAGGCUUCAAGACCCAGUGUGUGGCCAUUGAGUGAAGGCAACCAACCCAUGGCCCCCAAUAAAGGCCCCCAACCAACCCUCUGUUCCCCCUGGAAAAAAAAGACCCAAACUUCUGUUAUAGUGUUAGGUACUUACUGGUUCUUGUUUUUCAAAGUGACAUGUCAUAAAUAUGCCUUUGAAAAUACCCGGUGAAACAUGAAAAAGAACGAGGAAGAUCUUUAUGAAUGGAUUUAGAGUAAUUUUUAGGAUAUAUUGUUAACUGAAAGAAGCAAGGUACAAAAAUGUGUAUAGCAGGCUAUAGUUUGCCCAGAAAAUGUGUGUGUGUGUGUGUAGCAAAAAGAAACACAGUAAGGAUAAGCCAGAAAUUAAUAAAAUCUAUAAGGAAGGGGAAGGGGUUGGGGUGUUAGGAAUGGAUAUGAGAACACGUGAAUGUCUUAUAUGCCUGGAAAAUUAAAUUAAAUUCAACGGAUGGAAAGAAGCAAGCUCCAAAAUUAAAAUAUAGUAAUAAAGCAAAUGAAUCUAGCUAUAUUGUAUUAAUAAAGUAACCACAUAGAGAAAAGAAUUGAUUCAAGUAAAUUUUGAUAUCAGGACUCUGACUGACCAUCCCUUAGUCACUAAGGCUUAGUGGGAUAUAUUCUAAGACCAAAAAUAAUUUCAAUGACAUAUAAAGCUUUAUUAUGUUUAUUGGUUAUUAGCAAUGAUAGCAUUAUAAUUUUGAAAUGGUAUAUAUAUAUUGUCAGACAAAGCAAAUAAGUGGAUAUAAUAAUAUUAUUAGAAAUUAAGACUUCACUGUAAGGGAAAAGAAAUAAAAAUAGAAAAUAAAAGAAGUUUAAAUAAACAUUGUCUAUUAAAUUCAAAUAUAUGGAGUCUUAAGUAUAUAUAUUUCCUAGCUUUGCCCACUUGAAAGGACUUAAACAUAAUGACACUUAGGGGAGUGCGCACACUUAUUGCUCAGAUCUUGAUGUGAAUAUUAUUUUCCAUUAAAAACAAAAAAAACAAGCAAACAAAAAACAAAAGCCUGACUG